UUUGACAAAUUAGUUUUUAUUAAUAACAAAAUCUUAUCACCAUUUAGAAAAUCGGUUCAGGAUUUUUCGGUUACUUUUAGAAGAACUUUUGAUCAAAAAGUCGUGAAUUUCGUAUUAAAUUUGGAUUGAAGUAAAUAAAAAAAAAAAAUAAUACUUAUGUAUAACAAAUUAUUACAGUAAAUAGUGUAAGUAUUCAUGCAUCGUUAUUUAUUUUCGUUAUUUGUUUUAUUAGUGCAUUGCAUAUCGAAUUCCAGGAGAUUUUAAGAUUUAUUAAAGAAAGCUUGAAACCUGGAUGAAUGUUGAAUUACAUUUUAAUUUUUUUUUUUCAAACUCCUUUUUUUAUUUCGAAUCGUAGAAACAAAACAAAAUGUAUCACCCUUUGCCAUUUUAGUCCAGGAAACUGAAACAAAAAAAAAAACAAAUUUGAAAAAAAAUUACUACAAAACUAAAGUUUAGUGAAAGGUCACAAACAAGAAGCAUUCAGUUCUGAAUACAAAAAAAGUUACUCAUACGCUAUGUGAAGACUUAUCAAAAUAACUACUAUUUUACAAAAGGACAAAGAUCUUCGAUUAAACUCGUUCAUAAUGGAUAUAAUUUUGUCAAACUUUUGGAAAACAAAAACGGAACUAAAUGGUUACAUGCAAAACUCCUCGAUAUUUCUACACAACUGAUCGUUUAAUUGGAGUUCAACUUUCACACAAUGGCUAUCAAUAUGUAAAACUCUUACAAACAAAUAAGGGAGUCCAAUGGAUAUGCAUUAAUCGAAUAUCUACAAAAUGCCUCGCCAAAUUGCAAGUCAACUAUGAUUCCAAACUUUACAUUUUACACAAAGACCAUAAUCAUGAUCGUCCAAAACAAAUUCGUCGAAGGAAAAACUAUAUAAUUGGCUCACAUAGUGUCGGCUGAAUAUAAUUUUUUUUUUAAUAAAAAAAUUAUGCUUAAAUUAUAUAAUUUUAGAUUCUAAUUACAAUGUUUAAAUUAUUUAAUCUUUAUCAUUAAAUCUAUUUAUUUCAAGAGUGACAAAAUAUUACAAAUUGUGUAUUUUUUUUAAUUCAAUCUUUAUUCGAUUCGUUAUUCGAGAUACGUUCAUGGACAACAUCAAAACAUUCUUCACAUAUCCAUUCUCCUCCCGGACACUGUGGACAAUAUGUUAUGAUUUUCUU